UACGUAGGGGGCAAGCGUUGUCCGGAUUUAUUGGGCGUAAAGAGCGUGUAGGCGGCUUGGUAGGUCCGCUGUGAAAACUCGAGGCUCAACCUCGAGAUGUCGGCGGAAACCACUUGGCUAGAGUCCGGAAGAGGAGAGUGGAAUCCUGGUGUAGCGGUGAAAUGCGCAGAUAUCAGGAGGAACACCAAUUGCGAAGGCAGCUCGCUGGGACGUAACUGACGCUGAGGCGCGAAAGCCAGGGGAGCAAACGGG
rnacentral:rRNA from 1 species